rnacentral:rRNA from 1 species
GUUUGAUCCUGGCUCAGGAUAAACGCUGGCGGCGUGCAUGAGACAUGCAAGUCGAACGAACGAGCUUGCUCGUUAGUGGCGAACGGCUGAGUAACGCGUAGGUGACCUGCCCCGAAGUGGGGGAUAACUGCCCGAAAGGGUGGCUAAUACCGCAUGUGGCGACGCUUUCAUUGGCGUCAUCAAAGCCGCGAGGCGCUUCGGGAGGGGCCUGCGUCCGAUUAGCUCGUUGGUGGGGUAAUGGCUCACCAAGGCGACGAUCGGUAGGUGGUCUGAGAGGACGAUCACCCAGACUGGGACUGAGACACGGCCCAGACUCCUACGGGAGGCAGCAGUCGGGAAUUUUGCUCAAUGGGGGAAACCCUGAAGCAGCAACGCCGCGUGCGGGAUGAAGGCCUUCGUGUUGUAAACCGCUUUUACCAGGGACGAUAAUGACGGUACCUGAUGAAUAAGUCACGGCUAACUACGUGCCAGCAGCCGCGGUAAUACGUAGGUGACUAGCGUUGUCCGGAUUUACUGGGCGUAAAGAGCGCGCAGGCGGUCGUUCAAGUCGAGUGUGAAAGCCCCCGGCUCAACUGGGGAGGGUCAUUCGAUACUGAUCGACUCGAAGGCAGGAGAGGGAAGCGGAAUUCCCGGUGUAGUGGUGAAAUGCGUAGAUAUCGGGAGGAACACCAGUGGCGAAGGCGGCUUCCUGGCCUGUUCUUGACGCUGAGGCGCGAAAGCUAGGGGAGCAAACGGGAUUAGAUACCCCGGUAGUCCUAGCCGUAAACGAUGGACACUAGGUGUUGGUGGUAUCAACCCCACCAGUGCCGAAGCUAACGCAUUAAGUGUCCCGCCUGGGGAGUACGGCCGCAAGGCUAAAACUCAAAUGAAUUGACGG